GACUGACAUUAGCAGCACAGCUUAGUGAGCCUGCAGACCAGACAUCUCUUGGAUGCUCAGAGACACUGAACGCUGCUUAUUUUCAUGGGAACGGUAGGUCAUCACACCCACAGUACCAUCCAGACUCCCUGCUGCUCUGGAGCUGCUGAAGUUUCCACUCAGAAACCCCUCCCCCACAACUCAUUGGAAGAACGGACAAAAGUCUGAGGGGAAAAAAAUCCUUUUACACGUGAAGAUGGUAUCAGCAUUGUAAAAUGAUUUUCACUUUAGCAAAAAAAGAAAACCAAUAGCAAAUCGGUAUUUGGGUGCACCAAGGGAGCAAACAGAACAGUUAACACAGCCCAAGGAUAAAUGGUAUGUUGUUAAGAAGACAUUUUCAUUCACCACUGCACUUUUCAACACCUGUCUAGUUCAAAGCAAGAGGAUAGUCCCAGUCUGGGAGCUCGGCCGUGUGGUUCACAUUGGAAAACUCG